UACGUAGGCAGCGAGCGUUGUUCGGAAUUACUGGGCGUAAAGAGUGUGUAGGCGGUGCUCUAAGUUCGGUGUGAAAUCUCCUGCUUAACUGGGGAGGGUGCGCCGGAAACUGGAGUGCUUGAGCGUGGGAGAGGAAAGCGGAAUUCCUGGUGUAGCGGUGAAAUGCGUAGAUAUCAGGAGGAACACCUGCGGUGUAGACGGCUUUCUGGACCAUGGCUGACGCUGAGACACGAAAGCGUGGGUAGCAAACAGG
rnacentral:rRNA from 1 species